CGCAUCUGUGCAUGCAGCAUAUCAAUAAGCGGAGGAAAAGAAACUAACAAGGAUUCCCUUAGUAACGGCGAGUGAAGCGAGAAGAGCUCAAAUUUGAAAUCUUCAAGGUUUUACCUUGACGAAUUGUAGUUUAAAGAAGUGUUUUCUGUUGAAGUUUUGGUAAAAGUUCUUUGGAAUAGGACAUCAUAGAGGGUGAGAAUCCCGUAUUUGACCAUUAUUUUCAGCUGUGUGAAUACACUUUCAAAGAGUCGGAUUGUUUGGGAAUGCAGUCCAAAAUGGGUGGUAAAUUUCAUCUAAAGCUAAAUAUUGGCGAGAGACCGAUAGCGAACAAGUACCGUGAGGGAAAGAUGAAAAGAACUUUGAAAAGAGAGUUAAACAGUACGUGAAAUUGUCAAAAGGGAAGCGUUUGACACCAGUGUUGUUUUCUCGAAAAUCAAUUAAAAAGAGUUGGAUUUUGUUGUGUAUUGACCUUAACAGCUUGCAUUCAAUCUUUCAUUGCUUUUUUUAAUGCACUUUUCGUUUAACAAGUCAACAUCAGUUUCUUUUGUUGUAAAAAGGUCAUUGGAAGGUGGCUUUCUUUUCGGAGAAAGUGUUUAUAGCCUUUGACUCCUGCAAUCGGAGAGACUGAGGUCUGCAGCGUAGAUCCUUCGGGGUUAGAUACAUUUGUGCUAAGUUAUAGCUUUUUAUAGACAACUUGUUGACUAUGAUUAGUCUUGUAGCUUACUCGCUUAUGCUAUUUUACCUACGCUUAGGAUGUUGACACACGCGCGUGCUCG
rnacentral:rRNA from 1 species